rnacentral:rRNA from 1 species
GUGCCAGCAGCCGCGGUAAUACAGAGGGUGCAAGCGUUAAUCGGAAUUACUGGGCGUAAAGCGCGCGUAGGUGGUUUGUUAAGUUGAAUGUGAAAUCCCCGGGCUCAACCUGGGAACUGCAUGCAAGGCUGGCAAACUAGAGUAUGGUAGAGGGUGGUGGAAUUUCCUGUGUAGCGGUGAAAUGCGUAGAUAUAGGAAGGAACACCAGUGGCGAAGGCGACCACCUGGACUGAUACUGACGCUGAGGUGCGAAAGGUGGGGAGCAAACAGGAUUAGAUACCCUGGUAGUCCACGCCGUAAACGAUGUCAACUAGCCGUUGGGAGCCUUGAGCUCUUAGUGGCGCAGUAACGCAUUAUGUUGACCGCCUGGGGAGUACGGCCSCAAGGUUAAAACUCAAAUAAAUUGACGGGA